UACGUAGGGUGCGAGCGUUGUCCGGAAUUACUGGGCGUAAAGAGCUCGUAGGUGGUUUGUCGCGUUGUCCGUGAAAACUCACAGCUUAACUGUGGGCGUGCGGGCGAUACGGGCAGACUGGAGUACUGCAGGGGAGACUGGAAGUUCCAGGUGUAGCGGUGAAAUGCGUAGAUAUCAGGAGGAACACCGGUGGCGAAGGCGGGUCUCUGGGCAACAACUGACGCUGAGGAGCGAAAGUGUGGGGAGCGAACAGG
rnacentral:rRNA from 1 species